UGAACGCUGGCGGUAUGCUUAACACAUGCAAGUCGUACGAAGGUUUUUAGCCUUAGUGGCGGACGGGUGAGUAACACGUGAGAAUCUGCCCUUAGGAAGAGAAUAACAAUUGGAAACGGUUGCUAAUACUCUAUAUGCCGUGAGGUGAAAGGAUGUAUCCACCUUAGGAAGAGCUCGCGUCUGAUUAGCUAGUUGGUAAGGUAAUGGCUUACCAAGGCGACGAUCAGUAGCUGGUUUGAGAGGACGACCAGCCACACUGGGACUGAGACACGGCCCAGACUCCUACGGGAGGCAGCAGUGGGGAAUUUUCCGCAAUGGGCGAAAGCCUGACGGAGCAAUACCGCGUGAGGGAUGACGGCCUGUGGGGUUGUAAAACCCUCUUUUUCUCAAGGAAGAAGUUCUGACGGUACUUGAGGAAUAAGCAUCGGCUAACUCUGUGCCAGUAG
rnacentral:rRNA from 1 species